CCUACGGGUGGCUGCAGUAAGGAAUAUUGGUCAAUGGACGAAAGUCUGAACCAGCCAUGCCGCGUGAAGGAUGAAGGUCCUCUGGAUUGUAAACUUCUUUUAUCUGGGACGAAAAAAGGGAAUUCUUUCUCACUUGACGGUACCAGAAGAAUAAGCACCGGCUAACUCCGUGCCAGCAGCCGCGGUAAUACGGAGGGUGCAAGCGUUAUCCGGAUUCACUGGGGUUAAAGUGGGCAUUUAUGGGCGUGUAGAAAGCUCCGGGCUUAACCCGGAAACUGCCAUUGAUACUAUCUGUCUUGAAUACUCUGGAGGUAAGCGGAAUAUGUCAUGUAGCGGUGAAAUGCUUAGAUAUGACAUAGAACACCGAUUGCGAAGGCAGCUUACUACGGAGUCAUUGACACUGAGGCACGAAAGCGUGGGGAUCAAAGAGGAUUAGAUACCCCAGUAGUC
rnacentral:rRNA from 1 species